GGAAGGGUAGCGAAGAGGCUAAACGCGGCGGACUGUAAAUCCGCUCCUUCGGGUUCGGGGGUUCGAAUCCCUCUCUCUCCA
rnacentral:tRNA from 3 species